AGCGAACGCUGGCGGCAGGCCUAACACAUGCAAGUCGAACGAACCCUUCGGGGUUAGUGGCGGGCGGGUGAGUAACACGUGGGAACGUGCCUUUAGGUUCGGAAUAACUCAGGGAAACUUGUGCUAAUACCGAAUGUGCCCUUCGGGGGAAAGAUUUAUCGCCUUUAGAGCGGCCCGCGUCUGAUUAGCUAGUUGGUGAGGUAAUGGCUCACCAAGGCUACGAUCAGUAGCUGGUCUGAGAGGAUGACCAGCCACAUUGGGACUGAGACACGGCCCAAACUCCUACGGGAGGCAGCAGUGGGGAAGCUUGCGCAAUGGGCGAAAGCCUGACGCAGCCAUGCCGCGUGGAUGAUGAAGGUCUUAGGAUUGUAAAAUCCUUUCACCGGUGAAGAUAAUGACUGUAGCCGGAGAAGAAGCCCCGGCUAGCUUCGUGCCAGCCGCCGCCGUAACAC
rnacentral:rRNA from 1 species